GAGAAAGAGAGACGCUGUGAUCAAAAACCACACGGAAUCGGCAAAUUCCGGUGACGCCAAAAAUAACAGCGGCUGUUUUCCUUCAUUCUCGCUCCUCUGCGUCUCUUCUCUGCGUCUAAAAACACUAGUCUCAAUCAAGUGGAGUUCAAGCUUUUGACGAAACAAGGAAGACUCUUACUGAAGGUUUCAUUUGGAAUAGAAGCAAAAGACACAGACUGAGAUAGAGGGUUCUAAAGAUAAGUUCACUCAUGUGGGGUCUCUCUCUCUUAUGGUUGAACAAUUGCAGAAGUUUGCCUUAAAGGAUACAAAGGAAAGCAUGAUCUGUACUAUCUCUUCAUAAAGAGGAGACAAAAGAAAUCAAAGCUUAACUCUGGUUAGAGUGAGACUUACCUAUGGUUUGGUUAGUUGUUGCUUUUAAGUUUGGAUGUUCCUCAGUAUAAAAGCAGAGAUAUGUUGUCUAAGGUUGUUUUGUGCUGCUGAAGAAGAGCACUAGUGUACUGUGCUGAAGGCAAAACGUGAGCACCAGUGUGAUGUGUGAGAGCACCAAUGGGUGUAUCAUGUUCCUCUAGCUUUGUAUGGAUUUUGGUUAUAGGGUGAAUGCGAGGUAUUAUGCUUAAUGAUGCCCUAAAGUGUGUAUCAUGUUCCUCUAGCUUUUUCGAAGUGAGCUACAAAGAUGAUUCAGUUUUGUCAUA